rnacentral:rRNA from 1 species
CUGCCCUUGGGAGGGGAACAACAGCUGGAAACGGCUGCUAAUACCCCAUAGGCUGAGGAGCAAAAGGAGGAAUCCGCCCAAGGAGGGGCUCGCGUCUGAUUAGUUAGUUGGUGAGGCAAUGGCUUACCAAGGCGACGAUCAGUAGCUGGUCCGAGAGGAUGAUCAGCCACACUGGGACUGAGACACGGCCCAGACUCCUACGGGAGGCAGCAGUGGGGAAUUUUCCGCAAUGGGCGAAAGCCUGACGGAGCAAUGCCGCUGUHAAGGCAGAAGGCCCACGGGUCAUGAACUUCUUUUCUCGGAGAAGAAAAAAUGACGGUAUCUGAGGAAUAAGCAUCGGCUAACUCUGUGCCAGCAGCCGCGGUAAGACAGAGGAUGCAAGCGUUAUCCGGAAUGAUUGGGCGUAAAGCGUCUGUA